AGAGUUUGAUCCUGGCUCAGGACGAACGCUGGCGGCGUGCCUAAUACAUGCAAGUUGAACGCUUGAUUUUCACCGAAGCUUGCUUCACCGAAAAUCAAGAGUAGCGAACGGGUGAGUAACGCGUGGGUAACCUACCUUUCAGCGGGGGAUAACUAUUGGAAACGAUAGCUAAUACCGCAUAACAAUGUUGAAUGCAUAUUCGACAUUUGAAAGUACCAAAUGGUACACUGAGAGAUGGACCCGCGUUGUAUUAGCUAGUUGGUAGUGUAAUGGACUACCAAGGCGAUGAUACAUAGCCGACCUGAGAGGGUGAUCGGCCACAUUGGGACUGAGACACGGCCCAAACUCCUACGGGAGGCAGCAGUAGGGAAUCUUCGGCAAUGGACGAAAGUCUGACCGAGCAACGCCGCGUGAGUGAAGAAGGUUUUCGGAUCGUAAAACUCUGUUGUUAGAGAAGAACGUUGCAUAGAGUGGAAAAUUAUGCAAGUGACGGUAUCUAACCAGAAAGGGACGGCUAACUACGUGCCAGC
rnacentral:rRNA from 1 species